rnacentral:rRNA from 1 species
GUGAGAGCCCCGUCUGGUUGGACGCCGAACCUCUGUAAAGCUCCUUCGACGAGUCGAGUAGUUUGGGAAUGCUGCUCUAAAUGGGAGGUAUAUGUCUUCUAAAGCUAAAUACCGGCCAGAGACCGAUAGCGCACAAGUAGAGUGAUCGAAAGAUGAAAAGAACUUUGAAAAGAGAGUUAAACAGUACGUGAAAUUGUUGAAAGGGAAGCGCUUGUGACCAGACUUGGGCUUGGUUGAUCAUCCGGGGUUCUCCCCGGUGCACUCUUCCGGCUCAGGCCAGCAUCAGUUCGCCCUGGGGGAUAAAGGCAUCGGGAACGUGGCUCUCUCCGGGGAGUGUUAUAGCCCGUUGCGUAAUACCCUGUGGCGGACUGAGGUUCGCGCAUUCGCAAGGAUGCUGGCGUAAUGGUCAUCAGUGACCCGUCUUGAAACACGGACCAAGGAGUCGUCUUCGUAUGCGAGUGUUCGGGUGUCAAACCCCUACGCGAAAUGAAAGUGAACGCAGGUGAGAGCUUCGGCGCAUCAUCGACCGAUCCUGAUGUAUUCGGAUGGAUUUGAGUAAGAGCAUACGGGGCCGGACCCGAAAGAAGGUGAACUAUGCCUGUGUAGGGUGAAGCCAGAGGAAACUCUGGUGGAGGCUCGCAGCGGUUCUGACGUGCAAAUCGAUCGUCAAACAUGGGCAUGGGGGCGAAAGACUAAUCGAC